CUAGUAAUCGCGGAUCAGCAUGCCGCGGUGAAUACGUUCCCGGGCCUUGUACACACCGCCCGUCACACCAUGAGAGCCGUAACACCGAAGUCAGUAGUCUAACCGCAAGGGGACGCUGCCGAAGGUGGGGCUGGUGAUUGGGGUGAAGUCGUAACAAGGUAAC
rnacentral:rRNA from 1 species